GGUUACUGCUAUCGAGGUUCGACUAAGCCAUGCGAGUCGAAUGUAGCAAUACAUGGCGAACUGCUCAGUAACACGUGGACAACCUGCCCUUUAGGUUGGGUAUAAACCCGGGAAACUGGGUAUAAUACCCGAUAGGUCUCGAUUGCUGGAAUGCAUCGAGAUUUAAAGCUCCGGCGCCUAAGGAUGGGUCUGCGGCCUAUCAGGUAGUAGUGGGUGUAGCGUACCUACUAGCCUACGACGGGUACGGGUUGUGAGAGCAAGAGCCCGGAGAUGGAUUCUGAGACACGAAUCCAGGCCCUACGGGGUGCAGCAGGCGCGAAAACUUUACAAUGCUGGCAACAGCGAUAAGGGAACCUCGAGUGCCAGGUUACAAAUCUGGCUGUCGAGAUGCCUAAAAAGCAUUUCAUAGCAAGGGCCGGGCAAGACCGGUGCCAGCCGCCGCGGUAACACCGGCGGCUCGAGUGGUAACCGUUAUUAUUGGGUCUAAAGGGUCUGUAGCCGGCCGGAUAAGUCUCUUGAGAAAUCUGGCAGCUUAACUGUCAGGCUUUCAGGAGAUACUGUCUGGCUCGAGGCCGGGAGAGGUGAGAGGUACUUCAGGGGUAGGGGUGAAAUCUUGUAAUCCUUGAAGGACCACCAGUGGCGAAGGCGUCUCACCAGAACGGACCUGACGGCAAGGGACGAAAGCUAGGGGCACGAACCGGAUUAGAUACCCGGGUAGUCCUAGCCGUAAACGAUACUCGCUAGGUGUCGGCCACGGUGCGACCGUUGUCGGUGCCGUAGGGAAGCCGUGAAGCGAGCCACCUGGGAAGUACGGCCGCAAGGCUGAAACUUAAAGGAAUUGGCGGGGGAGCACCACAACGGGUGGAGCUUGCGGUUUAAUUGGAUUCAACGCCGG
rnacentral:rRNA from 1 species